GACAGAGGGUGCAAACGUUGUUCGGAAUUACUGGGCGUAAAGGGCUCGUAGGUGGCCAACUAAGUCAGACGUGAAAUCCCUCGGCUUAACCGGGGAACUGCGUCUGAUACUGGAUGGCUUGAGUUUGGGAGAGGGAUGCGGAAUUCCAGGUGUAGCGGUGAAAUGCGUAGAUAUCUGGAGGAACACCGGUGGCGAAGGCGGGUCUCUGGGCCGAUAUUGACGCUGAGGAGCGAAAGCGUGGGGAGCGAACAGG
rnacentral:rRNA from 1 species